rnacentral:rRNA from 1 species
ACGGAAGGCAGCAGUGAGGAAUAUUGGUCAAUGGGCGGAAGCCUGAACCAGCCAAGUCGCGUGAAGGAAGAAGGUAUUAUGUAUUGUAAACUUCUUUAGUCGCAGAGAAAUAAGGAUCUCGUGAGGUCUGAUGCUAGUAUGCGAAGAAUAAGGAUCGGCUAACUCCGUGCCAGCAGCCGCGGUAAUACGGAGGAUCCGAGUGUUAUCCGGAUUUAUUGGGUUUAAAGGGUGCGCAGGCGGGAUGUCAAGUCAGUGGUGAAAUGGUGCGGCUCAACCGUAGCAUUGCCGUUGAAACUGGCGUCCUUGAGUGCGAAUGAGGUAUGCGGAACGUGUCAUGUAGCGGUGAAAUGCAUAGAUAUGACACAGAACACCGAUUGCGAAGGCAGCGUACUGGGACGCGACUGACGCUGAGGCACGAAAGUGCGGGGAUCGAACAGGAUUAGAUACCCUGGUA